rnacentral:rRNA from 1 species
GCGUCAGUAGGUUGGUCGUGCCACCGGUACGUACUGGUCUCACUGAUUCCUCCUUCCUGAAGAACCGUAAUGCCAUUAUUUUGGUGUUGCGGGGAAACAGGACUGUUACUUUGAAAAAAUUAGAGUGUUUAAAGCAAGCUAACGCUUGAAUACAUUAGCAUGGAAUAAUGAAAUAGGACGAUCGAUCCUAUUUUGUUGGUUUCUAGGAUUGACGUA